rfam:Zygosaccharomyces bailii CLIB 213 genomic, scaffold05
GCCAUUCUAGUAUAGUGGUUAGUACAGCUCGUUGUGGCCGAGCAGACCCANGUUCGAUUCCUGGGAAUGGCA